GAUGAACGCUGGCGGCGUGCUUAACACAUGCAAGUCGAACGAUGAAGCCCAGCUUGCUGGGUGGAUUAGUGGCGAACGGGUGAGUAACACGUGAGUAACCUGCCCUUAACUCUGGGAUAAGCCUGGGAAACUGGGUCUAAUACCGGAUAGGAGCGUCCACCGCAUGGUGGGUGUUGGAAAGAUUUAUCGGUUUUGGAUGGACUCGCGGCCUAUCAGCUUGUUGGCGAGGUAAUGGCUCACCAAGGCGACGACGGGUAGCCGGCCUGAGAGGGUGACCGGCCACACUGGGACUGAGACACGGACCAGACUCGUACGGGAGGCAACGGUGGGGAAUCUGGCACAAUGGGCGCAAGCCUGAUGCAGCGACGCCGCGUGAGGGAUGACGGCCUUCGGGUUGUAAACCUAUUUCAGUAGGGAAGAAGCGAAAGUGACGGUACCUGCAGAAGAAGCACCGGCUAACUACGUG
rnacentral:rRNA from 1 species